GCUGGGCAUGGUGGCGGGUGCCUGUAAUCCCAGCUACUUGGGAGGCUGAGGCGGGACAAUUGCCUGAACCCAGGAGGCGGAGGUUGCGGUGAGCCGAGAUCGCACCAUUACACUCCCACCGGGUAACAAGAGCGAGCAAUCUCGGCUCACCGCAACCUCCGCCUCCUGGGUUCAGGCAAUUCUCCCGCCUCAG
ensembl:misc_RNA Metazoa_SRP Metazoan signal recognition particle RNA